rnacentral:rRNA from 1 species
UACAGAGGUCCCAAGCGUUGUUCGGAUUCACUGGGCGUAAAGGGCGCGUAGGCGGUCAACACACGUCAGUUGUGAAAUCUCCGGGCUUAACUCGGAAAGGUCAACUGAUACUGUGCGACUAGAGUGCGGAAGGGGCAACUGGAAUUCUUGGUGUAGCGGUGAAAUGCGUAGAUAUCAAGAGGAACACCUGCGGCGAAGGCGGGUUGCUGGGCCGACACUGACGCUGAGGCGCGAAAGCCAGGGGAGCAAACGGG